rnacentral:rRNA from 1 species
GGGUGGUAAUGCCGGAUGCUCCAGUUGAUCGCAUGGUCUUCUGGGAAAGCCUUUGCGGCAUGGGAUGGGGUCGCGUCCUAUCAGCUUGAUGGCGGGGUAACGGCCCACCAUGGCUUCGACGGGUAGCCGGCCUGAGAGGGCGACCGGCCACAUUGGGACUGAGAUACGGCCCAGACUCCUACGGGAGGCAGCAGUGGGGAAUAUUGCACAAUGGGCGCAAGCCUGAUGCAGCGACGCCGCGUGAGGGAUGGAGGCCUUCGGGUUGUAAACCUCUUUUGUUAGGGAGCAAGGCAUUUUGUGUUGAGUGUACCUUUCGAAUAAGCACCGGCUAACUACGUGCCAGCAGCCGCGGUAAUACGUAGGGUGCAAGCGUUAUCCGGAAUUAUUGGGCGUAAAGGGCUCGUAGGCGGUUCGUCGCGUCCGGUGUGAAAGUCCAUCGCUUAACGGUGGAUCCGCGCCGGGUACGGGCGGGCUUGAGUGCGGUAGGGGAGACUGGAAUUCCCGGUGUAACGGUGGAAUGUGUAGAUAUCGGAAAAAAAACACCA